UCGGACCAGGCUUCAUUCCUA
rnacentral:miRNA from 2 species